CUCAGAAAUUAGUGUGGGCAGAGGCGAGGCUUCUAGAACGCUUGCAUAAAGAGUCUGAGUCCAGAGCAGGAAGUUCACACAGAGAUUUUCAUAUUUGCUGCUAGUCCUUAAAUUCUUCCUGUUAGUGAAAUGCCAGCGAUCUUUUAAAGCUGGGGGAAGGAGGAGGGAAAGCCGCAGAGUGCUUGACCUGAGUGAGAGCCAGGCCACAGCCACACGGAAAAUUACCCCGAGCCGUGUUUACAGGCGACCAGACGGGCAGGGCUUCCCGGACUGUGGACCUGAGGUCAUUAGACCACGUGCUCCCUCCGUGAACAGGGGUACAAGGGCAAAGGCUGGAAGGCCUUUAGAGACACCUCCGUACCCCCUUAUUUAACAAAUGGGGAAACUGAAGCACACAAUGGCGAGUUGAUGUGCCCUCUCAGUGACCCCCUUACCUUUGCUAACUCAGCUCGGACUCUGGUCUCAGGAUUCUCCCUCCAGAUGCCGGCUCAGCUAUGAAACGGCCCUGAGACCCUGGCGGAGAAGCAGGAACUACAAUUCCCAGAAUCCCUUUCCCCGUGUGGUCCAGGGUUGAAGUUUGCCAGUGAAGGCGCUCUGCGGGAUGUGAAGGUGGAAGAGAUAUCAAGGCAUAUUCUUUGGAAGUAGAUGCAGCCAGACUCUGAGUGCAUGUUGCUGCCACAGCAUGGCUUGAUGAGGGUAUAAGUUGGUGCCUGGGAUCCGAACCCACGAACCUGGGGUGCUGAAGCAGAGUGCACGAAACUUCAGCCACUCAGCCACGGGGCCAGCCGUACAAACAAUCUUUGAAUGGCCAGAGGCCUUCUCUCCACCAAGAGUGAGGUGGUAAGGGCAAGAAGGGAAGAAAUGACACUUGGUUAAGGAGCCACUGCUCAGGCGUGUCCACGGCCACCGCCAGUUCUCUUGGGCAGCCUAACAUCGGUCACAGUGGGCCCGCCUUCCUCCCUGUCUUCUGGGACCAGCCCACCCCAUCCCAGCUUCUCUGCCUGAAGCCAGUGGGGAUCAGGAAGAAUCAAAGUCCAGGGAGCGGAGGCAUUCCCGACCUUGACCGUCCCCGUGGCACACAGGAACAGAGAGGUCCACCUUGGCUUCCAGCCCUCCCUGGCAAAGGACAUCCUGGCCCACAGGUGUGCUCUGCCAGCCUCUGGUGUCACCAGCUCUCAUCCUGGUCGGAGCCUGAUGCCACCCCACACUUGGCUGCCCAGCCCCUCACUGUGUGGUGCUCAAGGCUGAGUGGCAUCCUGCUGCUGUCACGUGGCUGCCCAGCGAGAUUUCCCAUGGACUGCGGUGUGCUGGGUGGGCCGGCCCGACACUCCGUCCAGCUCGCCUGUUGGAUUGCUCAUGACAAACGGACAUGUUUUUGUGACUUUCAUAAACUGGAGCUGACUUCCUCGAGUCCAGUCAGCUCUGGGACCCCGGAAACAGAUGUUCUGGCCCUGGGAGGCUGGGGCCGAGAUAUGGAUCAUGCCCGUGAGGUCACCAAGAUAAAUGCCACCUCGUAAACUCUCUUGAUCACAAUCUUAACAGUUUCCAUUUGUCACCCAGGCUAGAAUGGGUCCGUCUCUGGUUGAACUCCUCAGGCCAGCAGAUAGAGCACUGCGGCCAGCGAGUCCCCAGGGUCCUUGUGGAGACCAAGAUGGGUCCAGGAUAAAGUUCUCACUGAAAAAGAGGGAAAUUAAGUGGCCACCUGCCUUUUUU
rnacentral:lncRNA from 1 species